rnacentral:rRNA from 1 species
CCUACGGGAGGCAGCAGUCGGGAAUAUUGGGCAAUGGGCGCAAGCCUGACCCAGCGACGCCGCGUGAGGGAUGAAGGCCUUCGGGUCGUAAACCUCUGUCGGGAGGGAAGAAUGGCGGUGAGGCGAAUAGUCUCGCUGUCUGACGGUACCUCCAAAGGAAGCGCCGGCUAACUCCGUGCCAGCAGCCGCGGUAAUACGGAGGGCGCAAGCGUUGUUCGGAAUCACUGGGCGUAAAGCGCGUGUAGGCGGCCGGGUAAGUCGGAUGUGAAAUCCCGAGGCUCAACCUCGGAACUGCAUUCGAAACUGCUCGGCUCGAGUCCCGGAGAGGAUGGCGGAAUUCCCGGUGUAGGGGUGAAAUCCGUAGAUAUCGGGAGGAACACCAGUGGCGAAGGCGGCCAUCUGGACGGUGACUGACGCUGAGACGCGAAAGCGUGGGGAGCAAACAGGAUUAGAUACCCUGGUAGUCCACGCCGUAAACGGUGAGUGCUAGACGUCGCGGGUAUUGACCCCCGCGGUGUCGAAGCUAACGCGUUAAGCACUCCGCCUGGGGAGUACGGCCGCAAGGCUAAAACUCAAAGGAAUUGACGG